GUUGGGCACAGUUGAGUGAAGACGCAUCAUUAUGUGUGGUGAAUUCACAAGUUUUAGCUUUUAUAAGACGUAGAAGCAAGUAUGUGAUUACACUUGGGCAAUCCAUUUAUGCUUAAAGAUUGACAUGCUGUCAAGGAUCUUUUUGUAAGAAACACAGGGAGAAACUGUGCAACAUGGGCCUGCAAGCAACAAGGUCUUUGGUUGACAUAUAUCAUGCUCAAUUUCAUGUAUCUCUUAUAUCAAAUCCGAAUAAAUAUUUUUAUAAUU